rnacentral:tmRNA from 1 species
GGGGGUGACCGGCUUUGACGGUCUGCACAUUGAGAGAUGCGCGACGCAGUGCACGCCUAAGCGACACUCUAAUCCGCUCUGGCACCAAACCUGCCAACAAAUCUGUUGCAGGCGCAGUUCGCUCGCCGUACUUCGGUACGGUCGGCGAUCUCGCGUUCGCUUACGCGACGGCUCGAGGCUAAGCCUCGCCUCGCGUGAGCGACGUCCGUGCUGUCCCGGCGCUCACAGCGCCAGCACGGGCGGAAUCUCCUGUGAGCUAGAGUAGCGAGUGCCCACUCGCCCGCUCGAACCUUCGGGCUCGUUGCCGAGUGAUUUCGUCUUGAUUCUCCCACCGGCAAUCAGACUCUAAUCAAGACUACGCGUCGUAGAAGCGCUCUCUUUGCCAGAUUCGGACGGGGGUUCGAUUCCCCCCGCCUCCACCA